UAGGGAAUAUUGGUUAAUGUGCGAAAGCGCGAACUAGCAACGCCGCGUGUGCGAUGAAGGCCUUCGGGUCGUAAAGCACUUUUUGCAGGGAAGAGGAAGGACGGUACCUGCAGAAUAAGUCUCGGCUAACUACGUGCCAGCAGCCGCGGUAAAACGUAGGAGACGAGCGUUAUCCGGAUUUACUGGGCGUAAAGCGCGUGCAGGCGGCAUGGCAAGUUGGAUGUGAAAGCUCCCGGCUUAACUGGGAGAGGUCGUUCAAUACUGCCAGGCUAGAGAGUGGUAGAGGGAAGCGGAAUUCCGGGUGUAGUGGUGAAAUGCGUAGAUAUCCGGAGGAACACCAGAGGCGAAAGCGGCUUCCUGGCCCAUUUCUGACGCUCAGACGCGAAAGCUAGGGUAGCAAACGG
rnacentral:rRNA from 1 species